UUUAUGGAGAGUUUGAUCCUGGCUCAGAGUGAACGCUGGCGGCGUGCCUAAUACAUGCAAGUCGAACGAUGAAGCUUCUAGCUUGCUAGAAGUGGAUUAGUGGCG
rnacentral:rRNA from 1 species